UACGUAGGUGGCAAGCGUUGUUCGGAAUUAUUGGGCGUAAAGGGCGCGUAGGCGGUUUGUCGCGUCUGCUGUGAAAACCCGAGGCUCAACCUCGGGCCUGCAGUGGGUACGGGCAGACUAGAGUGCGGUAGGGGAGAUUGGAAUUCCUGGUGUAGCGGUGGAAUGCGCAGAUAUCAGGAGGAACACCAAUGGCGAAGGCAGAUCUCUGGGCCGUAACUGACGCUGAGGAGCGAAAGCAUGGGGAGCGAACAGG
rnacentral:rRNA from 1 species